rnacentral:lncRNA from 1 species
UCCAAAAUUUGUGAGAUUUAAGCUCAUUCCAAGUGAGUUUUAGAAAAUGAUUUCCUUGGGUGCUAAGAGGAUCCAUUUGAGUGCAUAGGGUAUUGGGUUUUGAGAAUUUUCCUCAAUUUUAUAAAUUCUCAUUAUUAGUAAAAUUAUCUUCCAGUUUUUGCCCGUGGAUGUAGGCAUUACGCUGAACCACGUAAAUUAUUGUGUCAUAUUUUCUUUGCAUUUGUUUAUCACCACAUUUAUGUUUCUUUAGAAGUCGCAGUCACCAUAAUAUUGGUAAUUGCUUAACCUAUACUUCCGCAACAAUUGAAAUCAUAGUUGAAGGUUUGUGUUUGGGGUAUACGGUAUUGUUCACGUGUAUGGUACUAUUCACGUAUAUGGGAUUGUUAAUGUAUAUGGUACUGUUCAUGAAUACGGUGGAGCCAACAAUUCGUAUUUAGGAGCAUCAUUCGCCUAAAAUGUAGUUGUGUGGAUAAAUGCAUGUCUAAGAAAGUUCUGUCAACAAGACAAUAAGAGUUUAAGGAGUCUGGAUUUUAAACAGGACCAUUGUGACCCCUUUAUUCUGGGAAUAUUCCUGGUGCAUUAUCUAUACAAAUAGACAUGUAGGCAUUAUUUGUCCAUGUUAGGUAAUAAAGAAGGAUGAUAGAGGCAUUGUUCUCAUCUUCAUCAGCGAGGACUACCGUGACGAAUGCAAAAUUUAAAGUGUAGAAGUUUGAUAAUUUACCAGCUAGAAAAUUGAUAGUAAUGGAGUACAAAUUGACUUAUGGGUCCCGAGGAUGCAUCUCCCGUGAUUGGCAGGUGUAUGUACACCAUAUUUAUCGCGAAGCUAAUUUCGCGGGGGAUUUCAUGGCUAGUCAUGCCCUUACUCUCCCUCUUGGCCUUCAUCAUUUUGCUACCCCUCCCUUGGGCGUAGACUUGGCUACGUAAUGAUGGUGUAGGGACUGUGUUCCCUCGUGUUGUUUAACCUUAGCCUUAGCUGAGGUUCUUUGUUUAACAAAAAGAAAAAAAAGAAACUUUCUAUGCAUCCUUUCAAUUAAAUAACUAACUAUUGUCCUCUC